rnacentral:rRNA from 1 species
GACAGAGGGUGCAAACGUUGUCCGGAUUUACUGGGCGUAAAGAGCGCGCAGGCGGUCGAUCAAGUCGAGUGUGAAAGCCCCCGGCUCAACUGGGGAGGGUCAUUCGAUACUGAUCGACUCGAAGGCAGGAGAGGGUAGUGGAAUUCCCGGUGUAGUGGUGAAAUGCGUAGAUAUCGGGAGGAACACCAGUGGCGAAGGCGACUACCUGGCCUGUUCUUGACGCUGAGGCGCGAAAGCUAGGGGAGCAAACGGG